rnacentral:rRNA from 1 species
AUUGAACGCUGGCGGCAGGCCUAACACAUGCAAGUCGAGCGGAUGACGGGAGCUUUCUCCUUGAUUCAGCGGCGGACGGGUGAGUAAUGCCUAGGUAUCUGCCUGGUAGUGGGGGACAACGUUUCUAAAGGAACGCUAAUACCGCAUACGUCCUACGGGAGAAAGCAGGGGACCUUCGGGCCUUGCGCUAUCAGAUGAGCCUAGGUCGGAUUAGCUUGUUGGUGAGGUAAUGGCUCACCAAGGCGACGAUCCGUAACUGGUCUGAGAGGAUGAUCAGUCAAACUGGAACUGAGACACGGUCCAGACUCCUACGGGAGGCAGCAGUGGGGAAUAUUGGACAAUGGGCGAAAGCCUGAUCCAGCAAUGCCGCGUGUGUGAAGAAGGUCUUCGGAUUGUAAAGCACUUUAAGUUGGGAGGAAGGGUUGUAGAUUAAUACUCUGCAAUUUUGACGUUACCGACAGAAUAAGCACCGGCUAACUCUGU